UGAGGAAUAUUGGUCAAUGGGCGAGAGCCUGAACCAGCCAAGUAGCGUGAGGGAUGACUGCCCUACGGGUUGUAAACCUCUUUUAUAAGGGAAUAAAAUGAAGUACGCGUACUUCUUUGCAUGUACCUUAUGAAUAAGCAUCGGCUAACUCCGUGCCAGCAGCCGCGGUAAUACGGAGGAUGCGAGCGUUAUCCGGAUUUAUUGGGUUUAAAGGGAGCGCAGACGGGACUUUAAGUCAGCUGUGAAAUUU
rnacentral:rRNA from 1 species